rnacentral:lncRNA from 1 species
AAGAGCUUACCUUCUUAAAGGGGCUUACCCUUUUUAUUUUAUUUUUUAUUCCCUCCCUUCUUCUUUUUUUUCCUUUUUUGGGCUGUGCUCUCUUAUUGUGGUCGGACGACAGUGGACUAUUCACGUGAGCGCUUGUUUUUACAGCGAAGCUAGUCCCAGCUCUCCUGGCGGGACGGAGAGGGGGAGGAGGGUGCAUUGUUUGACAAGACAGACACACAAACACACGCUCAGAGAGAAAGUUACUGCCUGGACCUCGGAGGAUUUUCCAUUCAGCUAUGUGUGUUCCCAAAGAAGUUGCUCCAGGAACAGGGACCCAGACCGCCGGUGUACUCCCCUCCACCCAGCGCCCAUGACCCCAACAUAGUGGGAGACAGUCCUCCGGAGGGAAGCUCAGUCAAAAGCCCUGACGCUGUUCCAGAGAGGAAAAAGAUUAGGGAGACUAACCCCAACGAGGAGAAGUUUUCAGAAGGAGG